CAACCUGCCGAUGACUCGGGGAUAGCCUUUCGAAAGAAAGAUUAAUACCCGAUGGCAUAGUUCUUCCGCAUGGUGGAACUAUUAAAGAAUUUCGGUCAUCGAUGGGGAUGCGUUCCAUUAGGUUGUUGGCGGGGUAACGGCCCACCAAGCCUUCGAUGGAUAGGGGUUCUGAGAGGAAGGCCCCCCACAUUGGAACUGAGACACGGUCCAAACUCCUACGGGAGGCAGCAGUGAGGAAUAUUGGUCAAUGGACGAGAGUCUGAACCAGCCAAGUAGCGUGAAGGAUGACUGCCCUAUGGGUUGUAAACUUCUUUUAUACGGGAAUAAAGUGAGGCACGUGUGCCUUUUUGUAUGUACCGUAUGAAUAAGGAUCGGCUAACUCCGUGCCAGCAGCCGCGGUAAUACGGAGGAUCCGAGCGUUAUCCGGAUUUAUUGGGUUUAAAGGGAGCGUAGGCGGACGCUUAAGUCAGUUGUGAAAGUUUGCGGCUCAACCGUAAAAUUGCAGUUGAUACUGGGUGUCUUGAGUACAGUAGAGGCAGGCGGAAUUCGUGGUGUAGCGGUGAAAUGCUUAGAUAUCACGAAGAACUCCGAUUG
rnacentral:rRNA from 1 species